rnacentral:rRNA from 1 species
UACGGAGGAUCCGAGCGUUAUCCGGAUUUAUUGGGUUUAAAGGGUGCGCAGGCGGCACGGCAAGCCGGCGGUCAAAUCGCGGGGCUCAACCCCGCCCAGCCGUCGGAACUGCCGGGCUAGAGUGGGCGAGAAGUGCGCGGAAUGCGUGGUGUAGCGGUGAAAUGCAUAGAUAUCACGCAGAACUCCGAUUGCGACGGCAGCAUACCGGCGCCCGACUGACGCUGAGGCACGAAAGCGUGGGUAUCGAACAGG